AUUUUUUUUGUAUCUCUUCUUUUAAUGCAAAGGACGAAGUAAAAAAAUAUUGUUUGUCAAAAAAAUAAAAUUGAUAAUCUUUUUAUCCUUAAAUGUUAUUUAGCUUUUUCAUUCUAUAUUCCUAUUCAGAAAUAAUGAAUUGGGUUUUUAUAGGCAUUUUUGAUGCCGCUAUUGAAAUAGCUUUUCUGGCUAUAUUUUCGGGUACACCACCCAUUUCAUAAAGGAUUUUACCUGGUUUAACCACAGCUACCCAAUACUCGGGGGAUCCUUUCCCAGAACCCAUACGCGUUUCCGCAGGUCUUACUGUAACUGGUUUGUCUGGAAAUAUACGUACCCAAAUUUUUCCACCACGUCGUACAUUUCGUGUCAUUGCUCGUCGCCCUGCUUCUAUUUGUCUAGAUGUGAUCCAAGCGGGUUCAAGUGUUUGAAGAGCAUAUCUGCCAAAACAAAUACGAUUCCCACGAGAAGAUAUUCCUUUUAGUCUUCCUCGAUGUUGUUUACGAAAUCUGGUUCUUUUUGGGUUAUAGUUGAUGGUUCUAAAUUAGAAAUUCCAUCUCUACUACAGAACUGAACGUGAGAGUUUCUUCUCAUCCAGCUCCUCGCGAAUAAAAGGAAUAAAAAAGCUUGUAUUAAGAUAUAGAUGUAGUUAAUGAUUAAUUCUAUUAAUCAUGGUAUUAAAUUUCAUCUGAUCUCUUCUAAAUUUGUGUAUGUCUUUUUCGAAAUCGAAUCCAAGAUGAAUUCUAUUUAUUUAAAAAUAACGUAAUAUCAUCAUCUCGAAUGUCGUUUUUAUUAGCGUUAGAAUAUUCUAACAAAUCCUUAUUUUCUUUUAUCUUUUUAAAUUUUUUUUCGUAUUUUAUUACUUUUAUUAAAAAAAAAAAGAUUCGCUGGCGAAUAUUUACUCUUUCAAUAUCUAUAUUAAGUUUGAUGUUUAUCCCAGGAGAUCUCUGAAUAAAAAUAAGACUAGAUAAUAAAGUUUCUGGUUUAUUCCGCCAUCCUGUCCAAUGAAUUACUAAGAUUUGUUUUUCAAUAGAAUCCUCUAUAUUCAUGGGUUCCGUCGUUCCCAUCGCUUCUUGAUUAAUCAUUAGGCCCGAAUUCUACAAUGGAGCUCUUAUAUGAAAUUGGGAAUUUCAUUUUUUAAUUUGUUUUUGAGUCAAUUUUCUCAGUUUUUAUUGGCUCAAGGCUCUUAAUUUUUUUUUUGUUUUCGGAACAGAUUUAUCUAAUUAUUAUGAAUGAAUCUGUAUUGAUGCUGUAUUACAUUGCUUUUCUUACAGUGACCUCAUAGACUUUCCAAAUUGGAAUAAUAUAUCAUUAAUAUUCAAUUUUUUCUUUCUUUCUUUCAUCCUUCCACUUAUCCGCAUACCUUUCGAUUACUUUUCAUAAUUUAUAAUCAUAUUUCUUUAUUUUUUUUUCAGUUGCUACAAUGAUAUGAUCAAUCUAUCAUAUCUUGACUGAUUUUUUUAUCCAGAUAAUGUGAAGCAAUGAGUUGCUUAGGUUAUUUAUUAAUGCUAUAGUUAUUAGUUUCUGUUAUAGGUAAGUUCUUUUUUCUUUUUUUUUUAUCUUAAUCUAAUCCUAAACCAACGAGUCACACACUAAGCAUAGCAAUUAUAUCAAAGUAGUUUUGAUGGAAAUUUUUAUUCAAUCUUAUAGAAUUGCUGAUUUUAUUCUUAAACAUAAAAAAGAAGACUGCAAUUUUUUAUUACUGUAUAGUGUUAUACUACAUAGUUUUCGUUUUUUAUCAUCGGAUAAAAUGUAAAGAUAAAGAAAGUUUUUU
rnacentral:lncRNA from 1 species